CACAAGUGACAAACUGAAAUGAGAGUCAUUUCUUCAUUUUAAUGGUAAAUACUUAAGGUUCGUGAGACUUCAGUGCGUUUGCUCACCGGUUGUUCCACGUGUUCGCCAAAUAGCAAGAAGCAGCUCAAAGACGACACACAAAUGAAUUUAUGGAUUGAGGAAGCCAUGCGUGGACAGCCAGACGGACGGACAGACAGACAAAUCAAUACUUGGGAAAACAAGAAAGCCAGAAAAGGUGGAGUACUGCCAUCCGCCUACCAGAUUGCCCUUCUCCAGUUUCAGAUAAACCUUGUCUUCUUUGUUGAGGUGCAGCAGGACUCCG